UACAGAGGUCUCAAGCGUUGUUCGGAUUCAUUGGGCGUAAAGGGUGCGUAGGUGGCGCUGUAAGUCGGGUGUGAAAUUUCGAGGCUUAACCUCGAAACUGCAUUCGAUACUGCGGUGCUUGAGGACUGGAGAGGAGACUGGAAUUCAUGGUGUAGCAGUGAAAUGCGUAGAGAUCAUGAGGAAGACCAGUGGCGAAGGCGGGUCUCUGGACAGUUCCUGACACUGAGGCACGAAGGCCAGGGGAGCAAACGGGG
rnacentral:rRNA from 1 species